rnacentral:tRNA from 1 species
GGGGUGGUAGGAAAAUUGGUUUAACCCCAUCGGGCUGUAAACCCGACGCGAAAGCGCUGUGAGUUCAAGUCUCACCCACCCCACCA